UUAAUGAUCAUGAGCGUGGUUUUCCCAGGGUGAGUCUUAUCCAUUGCACUCCGGAUCUGCUGACCCCUGUGAUUUCCCCAAGUGUUGUGGGAAACUUGACUGCGUAAUCUGUGGUACUGGGGGACUGCAUUUGCACUCUCCCC
rnacentral:snRNA from 1 species